rnacentral:rRNA from 1 species
UACGAAGGGGGCUAGCGUUGCUCGGAAUUACUGGGCGUAAAGCGCACGUAGGCGGCUUUCUAAGUCGGGGGUGAAAUCCUGGAGCUCAACUCCAGAACUGCCUUCGAUACUGGAAAGCUCGAGUCCGGGAGAGGUGAGUGGAACUGCGAGUGUAGAGGUGAAAUUCGUAGAUAUUCGCAAGAACACCAGUGGCGAAGGCGGCUCACUGGCCCGGUACUGACGCUGAGGCGCGAAAGCGUGGGGAGCGAACAGG